rnacentral:rRNA from 1 species
UCAAGCUACAAAGAGCACAAGGGGAAUGCCUUGGCACCGAGAGCCGAAGAAGGACGUGACUAACUGCGAUAAGCUGCGGGAAGCCGUAAGUAGGCUUUGAUCCGCAGAUUUCCGAAUGGAGCAAUCCGGCAAGAGGAAAGUCUUGUCAUCAUAUACUGAAUACAUAGGUAUAUGAGGGGAACCGCCUGAACUGAAACAUCUAAGUAGGGCGAGGAAGAGAAAUCAACUGAGAUUCCGUAAGUAGUGGCGAGCGAACGCGGAAGAGGCCAAACCGAGAGUAGUAAUACUUUCGGGGUUCGGACAGAAUACGGUAUUGUAAAGGUUUAGUGGAAUGGAAUGGGAAGUCCAACCGAAGAAGGUGAGAGUCCUGUACACGAAAAGCCUGAACAACCAUCUGUAUCCAGAGUACCGCCGGACACGUGAAACCCGGUGGGAAUAUGGGGGGACCAUCCUCCAAGCCUAAAUACUACUCGGUGACCGAUAGUGAAGAAGUACUGUGAAGGAAAGGUGAAAAGUACCCCUGACGGGGAGUGAAAAAGAACCUGAAACCUUGUGUUUACAAGCACCGAAAGCUCAUCAAAGAGCGAUCGGGUACCUUUUGUAGAAUGGUCCGGCGAGUGAAUGUAACCGGCGAGGUUAAGCACUUAAGGUGUGAAGCCGCAGCGAGAGCAAGUCUGAAUAGGGCGUAUGAAGUCGGUUGUAUUCGACCCGAAACCGGGUGACCUACCCAUGGUCAGGUUGAAGUAAAGGUAAAACUUUAUGGAGGACCGAACCGACUCCCGUUGAAAUGGUAGCGGAUGAACUGUGGGUAGCGGAGAAAUUCCAAUCGAACCCGGAGAUAGCUGGUUCUCUCCGAAAUAGCUUUAGGGCUAGCCUUGAAAUAGAUUACCGGAGGUAAAGCACUGAAUUGGCUAGGGGCCGAGAGGUUACUGAACCUUAUCAAACUAAGAAUGCCGGAUAAUCGUUUUUCAGGAGUCAGACAGUGGGAGAUAAGUUUCAUUGUCAAAAGGGAAACAGCCCAGACCCACAGCUAAGGUCCCCAAGUAUAGUUAAGUGGAAAAGGAUGUGGAAUUGCACAGACAACCAGGAUGUUGGCUUAGAAGCAGCCACUCAUUAAAAGAGUGCGUAAUAGCUCACUGGUCGAGUGACUCUGCGCCGAAAAUUUAACGGGGCUAAACUAUACACCGAAGCUUGGGAUACAUCUAAUGUAUGGUAGGAGAGCGUUCUGUAUGGGGAGAAGUCGUAGCGAAAGCGGCGGUGGACUGUACAGAAGUGAGAAUGCCGGAAUAAGUAGCGAGAAUUAAGUGAGAAUCUUAAUGGCCGAAAGUCUAAGGUUUUUGGAGGAAGGUUCGUCCGCUCCAAGUAAGUCGGGAGCUAAGGUCAGGCCGAAAGGCGUAGCCGAUGCACAUACGGUUGAUAUUCCGUAACCAUCUGUAAUUUAAGCAAAGGGACACUUCAAAAGGGUGUGACCCGGGCGUUGGUUGACCCGGGCGUAAGGGACCGAAAUUAGAGUAGGGAAGCACACUUAGCUGAAGGCGAGAAAAGCUUUGCGUAUAGAAGCAGAUGCCCGUACCGCAAACCGACACAGGUGGACAGGAAGAGAAUUCUAAGGCCAGCGGGAGAAGGGUAGUUAAGGAACUCGGCAAAUUGACUCCGUAACUUCGGAAUAAGGAGUGCUCGAAAGAGCCGCAGAGAAUAGGCCCAGGCGACUGUUUAGCAAAAACACAGGUCUCUGCCAAAUCGAAAGAUGAAGUAUAGGGGCUGACACCUGCCCGGUGCCGGAAGGUUAAGAGGAGGAGUGAGAGCUCCGAAUUGAAGCCCCGGUAAACGGCGGCCGUAACUAUAACGGUCCUAAGGUAGCGAAAUUCCUUGUCGGGU